CUGCGAGCAGAAUGCGGUCAGAAGGUGAAGACGAUCAGGAUCAGGGAGCAAGAAGGGUCUUGAGACUGACUCGAUGUAUUUCAAAAAGACACAGAAAUGAUUUGGGAAUUUUCCAUGCGUGGGACAAAACAAAUUGUGUGAAAGGUUCCUGUUCUGCCUGGAGGCCUCUCAUCACAGCCCACUCUUUGCCUGUCUUCUAAAUGUCAGGUAAGCCUGAGGAGUCUUAAAAAGCAAAAGGUGUCUUCCUAUUUUAAAAAAGUUUGAGGAUACCUAUAGGCCUCCCUGCCCUAAAAUAUAAAUAUUAAAAAAUGGCUCUGAUGAACAAAUCUACAUAUAUAUAUAUAUAUAUAUAUAUAUAUAUAUAUAUAUUUUUUUUUGGCCACACCACCAAUGCAUGUGGAACUUUCCCUACCAGGGAAGCCCACACCCCCUGCAGUGGAAGCGAGGAGUCUUAAUCACUGGACCACCAGGGAAAUUCUACUUUAAUAUAAUUCUGGGUGAAUUAUUAGAAGAUCCAAAUCAAAGGAAAAUAUUUAUACUGAUUGUAAGACUCCACCAUAGGAAACUGUACCGCACAGCUUUAAGAACUUUCAACUCAAAAAUAACAUGUAUAUUCUUGCUACCACAGCAGCCACUAAGAUAAGCAAGGCGUGGCGCCUGCUCCCCUAGAGUUUACCAUCUAGGGGAGAAACAGAGACCUGGAAAAUAACUGAAUCUGGGGUUUCAGAGGAGUCGACCUGUCAUGGGCACAGAGCAAGGCCGUGUCCUUGUGAAAGAGAGGUGGGGUCCCGACUGCCAGACCCCGGAAGAGGCGGCAGGCCUCGGGCAGGUAGGAGAAGGCUCCAGCUUCUCUCGGGGCUGCCUGUUUGGAAUCCUGGACAUCAAGGGGGGCCAGUAGUGCUGGGACUUGAGAUAGCCAGGCUGCACGAAUGCAAACUCCUGCGUGUAACCACAGCUCCCCUUCUUCCGUGUUCACGUGUCACGAGUGAGAGAAUGGAGGCUGAGUGGGCCUGCCUAUAUGUUGUGCACACAGUGGGCACACAGUUCACAGCUGCUGACGUCACUGAUGGCAGUGGAAGGGAGAGAUCUGCUCGAGUGAGGCCCCAGCGAGAAGGGUGGGAUGAGCAUCCAGGGAGCUCCUUUCGACUGCAGAGGGAAGGUCAGACCAAGGUGACCAAGGAGAUAAAGAAGCCAAGAGGACCAAAAGGCCUGCAGCGCCUCAGACCCAGCCCAGCCUCCACUCUGCCUGAGUCAGGAACAUGCCCUGGUCACAGACCCAUGCUGGCCAGCAUGACCCCACCCCUGCAGAGGACGGAGCCUAGUGAGGGGCCUUGCCUGUGCACCCAGACCCAUUCCUUUAUGCUGCUUGUGCUGGCGGUCCCUAGACCACGCCUGGAUUCUGAAUCCAGCUUUCGGCUCCAACCCUUGGUUACCAACUACCUGCCUGAGUCCAAGCCCAGUGCUGGGUAG
rnacentral:lncRNA from 1 species